rnacentral:lncRNA from 1 species
UUAUGACAAAUAGAAGGACCAUAUUAUAAAACAUAAAUAGUUUUGAAGUUGAGUUUGAAGGUUAAUAAAUCGAAGGCCAAUUUAUUUUACUGUCUAUUUGGGAUCCAAUAUCAAUAUUAAAAAAAAACAUUUUUUUGGAUGAAGCUGAUACAAGAGUGGAUAGAUAUCCGGAUUUUUGAAGAUAUUCGUGACCGUCUGAAUAAUCAAUUAUUCGAUUUGCUUAUGUUUGUAGUCAGCCGGAUAUACGGUGUCCCAGAUAUCCGGAUUCGAUCCG